UACGUAGGGGGCAAGCGUUGUCCGGAUUUAUUGGGCGUAAAGAGCGUGUAGGCGGUUUGGUAGGUCCGCUGUGAAAACUCGAGCUCAACCUCGAGACGCCGGUGGAAACCAUCAGACUAGAGUCCGGAAGAGGAGAGUGGAAUUCCUGGUGUAGCGGUGGAAUGCGCAGAUAUCAGGAGGAACACCGAUGGCGAAGGCAGAUCUCUGGGCCGUAACUGACGCUGAGGAGCGAAAGCAUGGGGAGCGAACAGG
rnacentral:rRNA from 1 species